CGCUACCGCCAUAUCACCCUGCAGCUUAAGACCGGUUACUCACUGAAGCUAAGCAGGGCUGAGCCUGGUCAGUACCUGGAUGGGAGACCACUAGGGAACACUAGGUUGCUGUUGGAA
rnacentral:rRNA from 1 species